AGUGAACGCUGGCGGUAGGCCUAACACAUGCAAGUCGAACGGCAGCACAGUAAGAGCUUGCGCUUACGGGUGGCGAGUGGCGGACGGGUGAGGAAUACAUCGGAAUCUACUUUUUCGUGGGUGAGAACGUAGGGAAACUUACGCUAAUACCGCAUACGACCUACGGGGGAAAUCAGGGGAUCUUCGGACCUUGCGCGAUUGAAUGAGCCGAUGUCGGAUUAGCUAGUUGGCGGGGUAAAGGCCCACCAAGGCGACGAUCCGUAGCUGGUCUGAGAGGAUGAUCAGCCACACUGGAACUGAGACACGGUCCAGACUCCUACGGGAGGCAGCAGUGGGGAAUAUUGGACAAUGGGCGCAAGCCUGAUCCAGCCAUACCGCGUGGGUGAAGAAGGCCUUCGGGUUGUAAAGCACUUUUGUUGGGAAAGAAAAGCAGCAGGUUAAUACCCCGCUGUUCUGACGGUACCAAAGGAAUAAGCACCGGCUAACUUCGUG
rnacentral:rRNA from 1 species